AGUUGCUACGGGACGCAACAGUGAGGAAUAUUGGUCAAUGGGCGAGAGCCUGAACCAGCCAAGUCGCGUGAAGGAUGACGGCCCUACGGGUUGUAAACUUCUUUUGUCAGGGAGCAAUUGGGUCCACGUGUGGGCUUAGCGAGAGUACCUGAAGAAAAAGCAUCGGCUAACUCCGUGCCAGCAGCCGCGGUAAUACGGAGGAUGCGAGCGUUAUCCGGAUUUAUUGGGUUUAAAGGGUGCGUAGGCGGAAUAUCAAGUCAGCGGUAAAAAUUCGGGGCUCAACCCCGUCGUGCCGUUGAAACUGG
rnacentral:rRNA from 1 species